rnacentral:rRNA from 1 species
AUUGAACGCUGGCGGAAUGCUUUACACAUGCAAGUCGAACGGCAGCACGGACUUCAGUCUGGUGGCGAGUGGCGAACGGGUGAGUAAUGUAUCGGAACGUGCCCAGUCGUGGGGGAUAACGUAGUGAAAAUUACGCUAAUACCGCAUACGAUCUAUGGAUGAAAGCGGGGGAUCGCAAGACCUCGCGCGAUUGGAGCGGCCGAUAUCAGAUUAGGUAGUUGGUGGGGUAAAGGCCCACCAAGCCAACGAUCUGUAGCUGGUCUGAGAGGACGACCAGCCACACUGGAACUGAGACACGGUCCAGACUCCUACGGGAGGCAGCAGUGGGGAAUUUUGGACAAUGGGCGAAAGCCUGAUCCAGCCAUUCCGCGUGCAGGAUGAAGGCCCUCGGGUUGUAAACUGCUUUUGUACAGAACGAAAAGGUUUCUACUAAUACUAGGAGCUCAUGACGGUACUGUAAGAAUAAGCACCGGCUAACUACGUGCCAGCCGCCGCAGUA